rnacentral:tRNA from 1 species
GUGGUCGUGCGGAGUGGUUAUCGGGCAUGACUAGAAAUCAUUGUGGCUCUGCCCGCGCAGUUUCGAAUCCUGCCUGACCACA